UGUUGGAUUUUUUUUUUUAAUGACUUGUUCCUUUUCACUCUGUCAGCUGUUCUUCCAUUGUAAAAGUCUACCUAUAUUAUAAUUUCUUUUACCGCACUUCAAGUGGAACUAUGUUACACAUAACAAAUAUUGUUUCCGUUGACACAAAUGUUUCACACUUUCAUGAUCAUUUUUCAAUGGACCUGCAGACAAGAAAUGUUGCAAGCACGUGAAAAACAGAAGGAAGAGCAAGUGAUAGCUUUGAAGCGUGAAAUGGAAAGUGGAAUGGUUAGUUUUUACCAGAUCACUUUUACGCAAUUUGAAUUUCAAUCAUUUUGUUAAUGACAAAAGGUUCUGUUCUCAAAUUUUUGUGCAAUAAUUUUGCAGGCACAAGCAAUGAAAGAGCAAGCUCAACUCAGGGAGGAGAUGGCUUACCAGUACAAGCUCGGCAACUUUGAGGUGAGAAUUACAAAUUCAACUCUAUUUGGACCUUCGUUUUUUAGCUUAAGUCUCAACUAAAUUUGCUGCAAUUUUUUUAUCACUGUAGGCUGCUGCUGCAAUCCAGAGAAGGUUGGACCC
rnacentral:lncRNA from 1 species